GAUGAACGCUGGCGGCGUGCCUAAUACAUGCAAGUCGAGCGAAUCACUUCGGUGGUGAGCGGCGAACGGGUGAGUAACACGUAGGUGAUCUGCCCAUCAGACGGGGACAACGAUUGGAAACGAUCGCUAAUACCGGAUAGGACGAAAGUUUAAAGGUGCUUCUGGCACCGCUGAUGGAUGAGCCUGCGGCGCAUUAGCUAGUUGGUAGGGUAAAGCCUACCAAGGCGACGAUGCGUAGCCGACCUGAGAGGGUGAACAGCCACACUGGGACUGAGACACGGCCCAGACUCCUACGGGAGCAGCAGGUAGGGAAUCUUCGGCAAGUGGGACGAAAGCCUGACCGAGCAACGCCGCGUGAAUGAU
rnacentral:rRNA from 1 species